rnacentral:snRNA from 1 species
GUGCUUGCUUUGGCAGCACAUAUACUAAAAUUGGAAUGAUACUGAGAAGAUUAGCAUGGCCCCUGUGCAAGGAUAACACACACAUUUGUGAUGUUUUCCAUAUUGUU